CCCUUAGAUGUUCUGGGCCGCACGCGCGCUACACUGAUGAAUGCAACGAGCUCUACCCUUGACCGAAAGGUCCGGGUAAACUUGUGAAACUUCAUCGUGAUGGGGAUAGAUUAUUGCAAUUAUUAAUCUUCAACGAGGAAUUCCUAGUAAGCGCGAGUCAUCAGCUCGCGUUGAUUACGUCCCUGCCCUUUGUACACACCGCCCGUCGCUCCUACCGAUUGAAUGGUCCGGUGAAAUCUUCGGAUUGCUGACCAAGAUCCAGCAAUGGAGCUUGGUUGCGAGAAGUUGAUUAAACCUUAUUAUUUAGAGGAAGGAGAAGUCGUAACA
rnacentral:rRNA from 1 species